rnacentral:lncRNA from 1 species
ACUUUGUAAAAUAAUCAACUCCCACCAAUAUAUAUCUUUGACUUUUGGAUGAUGGAGGUCGAAUUUCCCCAAUUAAAUCUAAAGCCCAACCCCUAAAUGGCCAAGGCUUGAUGAUAGAAUGUAAUUCACUUGCAGGGACGUGUUGUAUGCCUGCAUGCAUCUGACAUUCUUGGCAACCCUUUGUGAAUUCAAUACAGUCUUUCAACAUGAUAGACCAAUACAUCCCUUGGCUAAAUAAAAUCCAUUUCAUCUUAUGACCAACUU